rnacentral:misc_RNA from 1 species
GAACGCACAUUGCGCCCGCCAGCAUUCUGGCGGGCAUGCCUGUCCGAGCGUCAUUUCAACCCUCAGGCCCCGCCUGGCGUUGGAGGACUGCACUGCAGCCUCCCAAAGCGAGCGGCGGCGGCGCCCCACAACCGAACGCAGUACUGCAUCUCGUUCUGGGCGUGGGACGUCGUCCGGCCGGAAAACACCCCCUUCUCAAUGGUUGACCUCGGAUCAGGUAGGAAUACCCGCUGAACUUAAG